rnacentral:rRNA from 1 species
UACGUAGGGUGCAAGCGUUGUCCGGAAUCACUGGGCGUAAAGGGCGCGUGAGGCGCUUGAUAAGGUUGCGGUGAAAGCCCGGGGCUCAACCCCGGGUCGGCCGUGGCAACUGUCGAGCUGGAGCACUGUAGAGGCAGGUGGAAUUCCGGGUGUAGCGGUGGAAUGCGUAGAGAUCCGGAAGAACACCGGUGGCGAAGGCGGCUCACUGGCCCGUAACUGACGCUCAUGCACGACAGCGUGGGGAUCAAACAGG